rnacentral:rRNA from 15 species
GCUUACGGCCAUACCACCCUGAACGCACCCGAUCUCGUCCGAUCUCGGAAGCUAAGCAGGGUCGGGCCUGGUUAGUACUUGGAUGGGAGACCGCCUGGGAAUACCAGGUGCUGUAAGCC